rnacentral:RNase_P_RNA from 1 species
ACCGCCCCGGACCUGAUCCGGGGUAAGGGUGAAACGGCGGUGUAAGAGACCACCGCGCUGUUGGCAACAACAGUGGCACGGCAAGCCCCACCGGGAGCAAUGCCAAAUAGGGACCGCAGGGGCGCAUGCCCGGAUCAGUUUUGGAUCGGCGGUCCGGGUUGGCAGCUAGAGCCUGUUGGUAACAGCAGGCGCAGAGGAAUGGUCAUCCAGAGGCGGGGAAACCCGUCUUGGACAAAAUCCGGCUUACAGGCCGUCCGCGCAU